rnacentral:rRNA from 1 species
AUUGAACGCUGGCGGUAGGCCUAACACAUGCAAGUCGAACGGCAACACAGUAAGAGCUUGUUAUGACGGGUGGCGAGUGGCGGACGGGUGCGGAAUACAUCCGAAUCUACUUUUUCGUGGGGGAUAACGUUGGGAAACUUACGCUAAUACCGCAUACGACCUACGGGUGAAAGCAGGGGAUCUUCGGACCUUGCGCGAUUGAAUGAGCCGAUGUCGGAUUAGCUAGUUGGCGGGGUAAAGGCCCACCAAGGCGACGAUCCGUAGCUGGUCUGAGAGGAUGAUCAGCCACACUGGAACUGAGACACGGUCCAGACUCCUACGGGAGGCAGCAGUGGGGAAUAUUGGACAAUGGGCGCAAGCCUGAUCCAGCCAUACCGCGUGGGUGAAGAAGGCCUUCGGGUUGUAAAGCCCUUUUGUUGGGAAAGAAAAGCAGCAGGUUAAUACCCCGCUGUUCUGACGGUACCCAAAGAAUAAGCACCGGCUAACUUCGUG